UACGAGGGGGGCAAGCGUUGUUCGGAUUUAUUGGGCGUAAAGGGUUCGUAGGCGGUGCGGCAAGUUGGGAGUGAAAUCUCUGGGCUUAACCCAGAGGCUGCUUCCAAAACUGCUGUGCUUGAGUGUGGGAGAGGCGCGUGGAAUUGCAGGUGUAGCGGUGAAAUGCGUAGAUAUCUGCAGGAACACCCGUGGCGAAAGCGGCGCGCUGGACCACUACUGACGCUGAGGAACGAAAGCUAGGGGAGCAAACAGG
rnacentral:rRNA from 1 species